AGCAACCAUUAUUAUACAAACCAAGAAACCUGCCUUAUGGAAAAUAUUUAACUGGAGAAGAUCUAAUACAGGACCUCCAAAAUAUCUUUGAUGCUUUCAGCAAGAAUGCUGAUAGAUUAACAUAGGCAGCACUCAAGGAAAUGAGAGCUUCAACAACAUAGUUUCCUCAAAAAACCCAAAGAACCGCUUUUAUGGUGGUUCCGAGUCCACUGCAUUCAGGGUUGCAGCAGCUGUUGCACAAAAGAAUAUUGGCACUGAUGUUCUUUCCAAGGUUUAUGACAACUUAUUACUGUCGCCGGGAAAGAAUACACAAUUGUUUCUUACUUGGGCAUCAAAGAAAAGGCAGUAUAACAGGAACAGAAAGGCCAGUACAGCAUACAAAAAACGGCGCUAUGAACUGAAGUCAUCAAUAGCUAAACAGGAGUCAACAGCUGAAGUAAAGGAAGGCACAACAUAUCAGACCGCAGUAGACCUAAACCCUACAGCAUCCUCAGAAACCACACAGGAAAUACCUGCAACAGUCCCACCAACACUCAAAGUGGUGGAAAAUGGAAAGAAUACAUUUCUUUACUUUGACCUCGAGACAACUGGCUUGGGUACUUCUUGUGACAUCACUAAAUAGGUAUGUGUGACUGAAAAAGAAAGUUUUAACAGGGAUAUCAGAAAAUUGUACAAAGGUAAGACAAGUAAUAAAAGUAAGUAUGAUCCCAUUUGUGUUGGACACUGUGU